CCUCCCCUUUCCCACUCCCUCUCCCCUUCCAUUCACAUCAAGAUUCAUUUUCAUUUCUCUUUAUAUACAGAAGAUCAGUUUAACAUACAUUAAGUAAAGAUUUCAACAGUUUGCUCCCACACAGAAACAUAAAGUGAAAAAUACUGUUUUGAGUACUAGUUAUAGCAUUAAAUCUCAGUGUACAGCACACUAAGGACAGAGAUCCUACAUGAGGAGUAAGUGCACAGUGACUCCUGUUGUUGACUUAACAAAUUGACACUCCUGUUUAUGGCAUCAGUAAUCACCCUAGGCUCUUGUCAUGAGCUGCCAAGGCUAUGGAAGCCCCCUGAGUUCACCGACUCUGAUCAUAUUUAGACAAGGCCAUGGUCAAAGUGGAAGUUCUCUCCUCCCUUCAGAGAAAGGUACCUCCUUCUUGGAUGACCCGUUCUUUCCACUGGGAUCUCACUCGCGGGGAUCUUUCAUUUAGUUUUUUUUUUUUUCCCCCCAGAGUGUCUUGGCUUUCCAUGCCUGAAAUAGUCUCAUGGGCUUUUCAGCCAGAUCCGCAUGCCUUAAGGGCUGAUUAUGAGGCCAGAGUGCUGUUUAGGACAUCUGCCAUUCUACGGGUCUGCUGUGUAUCUCACUUCCCAUGUUGGAUCAUUCUCUCCCUUUUUUAUUCUAUCAGCUAGUAUUCGCAGACACUAGUCAUGUUUAUGUGAUCCCUUUGGUUCUUAUUCCUAUCAUUAUGAUCAAUUGUGAACAGAAAUUGAUCACUUGGACUAGUGAGAUGGCAUUGGUACAUGCCACCUUGAUGGUAUUGAAUUGGAAUCCCCUGGUAUGACCCUUUUAUAUUCACUAUUAGAAAAUAAGUGGGACAAAACCCAGUAGUAGUCAGUCAUGUUUAGUGCACCUGCUUGUUUUUUCAUUGAUAUAUGCUUGUGAUAUUUGUAUUUACAUUACUUAUUUCUAAUGUAACUAUGUUUAAUGUUAGUCUGGAAUUCUUACUAUAAUUAAAUCAUAACGUUUCACAGUUGUACAAAGAGCACUGAGACUUCCAAGAGUUUUGCUGUUUAAUUGGUUUGAAAACUGCUGAAUUGAUCAUCUAGUAAGACAGAGAGCAGGAAUUUUUAUCAUCAUCAUUAUGUGUGUAGUCAGAAGCCAUUGCAGACCUUUGAUGGGAAGUAACACAAGGAAAAUCAGAUUUCAUAUAAUGGAGCAAUAUUUGGGGGAGUUUUCUGGAAGAGGAGAGGUAGAGAGUGAAAAUGGGUAUAGAAAUGAAGAUAGAAUACAACCUUGGCAAAUGAUAUUGUUAGCUCAGAUCAUAUCAAGCAUUUGAUUAGAAGUUCCUAUAAUUCUAGCAUCAUGAUUCAAAUUAAAAUAUUAGGGACCGAUGCUGUGGAAUAGUAGGUUAAGCCUUCACCUGCAGCACCAGCAUCUCAAUGGGCACCGGAUUGAGUCCCGGCUGCUCUACUCUCAAUCCAGCUUCCUUCUGAUGGCCUGGGAAAUCAGCAAAAGAUGACCCAACUGCUUGGGCCCCUGCACCCAUAGGGAGACCUGGAAAAAGCUCCUGGCUCUGGCUUUGGAUUGGCCCAGCUCCAGCUGUUGCAGCCAUUUGGGGAGUAAGCCAGUGGAUUUAAGGCCUCUCUCUCUGUCUCUGUCUUUCUGUCUGUAACUCUACCUCUUAAAUGAAUAAAUAAACCUUCUAAAAAAUUAAAAUAUUAAGGUAGCUUUCUUUAGUUUAACAAGUUAAUUUUGCGUUGAUGAAAGUUAGACAUAGUAACUAAAGCAAAUUUUAGAUUACAGUUUCUCUUUUUAAUCUACUUUCAAAUAUGAUUCUUCUAUCAUAAAUAUUCUUAGAAUCUUGAACAAUAAUUCGGUAAGUAUAUUCCUAAAGAGAUCAUAGUCACAAGUCUAUAGAUACUGGAGCACAAUGUAACUGUUGAAAUGGAGAAGAUGGGUCCUUGCUGAAUAAGAAAACAUUCAAGGCAUUUGGCUGGGGGAUAGGAGUGAAAUAAGGGAUGCAAAAUGGACUCAGGCUUGGGCUCCAGGAAUUUUUCAGGGAUAUGAAUGGUAAAACAAAUUCAAUGUUAGUAGUAACAGUAGAAGAAAUUAUAUAUCGGGUGCCAAGAAAAUAAUAUAACAGCUUGAAAAAAUCUAAAGGAGUUGGUAUUUGAGUUAGUUACUUUUGAAUAGACAAAAUGGGAUAAAGAGCAUUCUGCCUCAAGGAAGAAAUACAGCCAAAGGCACUGGCCCCUAACACAAAUAUUUGUUGGGUAAUUUAAUAAAUGGAAUUGGGUAGCAUUUGUUUUUCUGUUGAUUUAUUUGGUAUGACACAUUGAAUGUCUCCUGUGUGCCUGCUACUGUGGCAGGUAGUUAUGGGAUAUAACAAGAUGAAUUUGAAAGAGUUAUAAUCCAGUAGGAGAGAUGGAUAAAACUGACAAAUGAAUAUACAAAUUCAAAGUGAGGAGGAUGAUUAAGUUACUGAGUAACUUAAUAAGGAAAUCUGGUUGGAUUGGAUAGUCAGAGAAGGCCCCUUUGAGAAAACUAAAUAUAAGCUGAAGGGGAUCUUUGUUAGAAUCUGAUAUACCCUGUGGGAUAUAUAUCCUGUUGGAAGCCUUUACCAUUGUUGUUAUUCUAGUACAUAUAAUCUGGCUAAAUUAAAAACACAACCUGUGAAAUUUCUCUUUUUCAUCAGUUUUUGCUUUAUUGAUUACUGAAUUAUAAACCUAUUGUUACUUUUGUUUUGCAGAAACCAAAGUUGAAAGAUUGGCAUCCUCCUGGAGGUUUUAUUCUUGGAUUAUGGGCACUCAUUAUCAUGGUUUUCUUCAAAACUUAUGGAAUCAAGCAUAUGAAGUUCAUUUUUUAGACUUUGAUAGAUGAAGAAGAAAGCAUGGAAGACUACAACCUUGGAUAAAAAUUUCUGUCAUAUGAUUUUAAAGAUACAAUUCUCUUUGCAUGAAUUGGAGAAAACUAUAAAGAAACUAAAUUUAAAUAAGCUGUUGAUAACUAAAAGAAAAAUAAUUGUUAAUGCAGUUGCUUAAUGGCACCAAUUAUAUUUCAACUUUAUUUUGUGUGUUAUAAAAACAACUGGGGCAGAGAAAUGGGAAUGUACUGAUUGAUUUUUUUAGAAUAACAAUUUCCCUAUAUCUCCUGUUUAUUCAAAAAAGAAAAAAUUGUGAAGUCAUGAAAUUCUGAUAGAAGCAACUUUUUAAAUAAUUUCUUAUGUGUCCUCCUGGUCUUUUUAUUUUGCACUUAUUUUCCCCAAGUGGAGAUCAUACAGGAAACCACUUUUAUAAUUUAUCCUUUUUCAUUUUACUAUAUAUAAUGUUUCCCUUUCAUUGGAUAUUCAAGAAAGCCUUGUGAACUGCUGCAUAAUACCUGUUAUAUGAGUGUGUAGUCCUUUAUUUGACAGCCUUAGACUGUUGGACUACUGACCUUGUUCCCGAAGUUUUCCUUUGAUUGAUUCUUUAAUGUAUGAACCUAUUAACAUGUUACUUUCAGUCACUCAUAGAAUUCUGUAGCUUUAAUUAUAAGAUUAACAAAUUGAUUUCUUAAUCUAUGUCACUGACAGUCUCCAGUACCUUGUUUGUGGUCAGUGUAUCUGUGACUUUGUAGCUGUUGGGAAUUUUACAUAUUGAUUGCUCAACAGAAGCAUACUCCAUUAUUUUUGACUUCUAAGUGUUAUAAUCUUUCAGAAUUGGUCACCUCCUUCUCAGUUUCUCACUUGAAACAGACAUCCAGCAAAAACUUUUAUUUCAUUUUGUUUAAGAUAAAUCUUGCCUACUGGCAGGAUCUGUACUUUGCCUGAAAACAAUCCCAUAAAAUGGGUGACCUACUUAACUCUGUCUUCACAUUUUUUUUUUUUUUUUUUUUUUUUGACAGGCAGAGUGGACAGUGAGAGAGAGAGACAGAGAGAAAGGUCUUCCUUUUGCCGUUGGUUCACCCUCCAAUGGCUGCCGCGGCCAGCACGCUGCGGCCGGCGCACCGCGCUGAUCCGAUGGCAGGAGCCAGGAGCCAGGAGCCAGGUGCUUUUCCUGGUCUCCCAUGGGGUGCAGGGCCCGAGCACCUGGGCCAUCCUCCACUGCACUCCCUGGCCACAGCAGAGAGCUGGCCUGGAAGAGGGGCAACCGGGACAGAAUCCGGCGCCCCAACCGGGACUAGAACCCGGUGUGCCGGCGCCGCUAGGCGGAGGAUUAGCCUAGUGAGCUGCGUGUCUUCACAUUUGACUAAUGGGUUACACAGGCAUUAAGUCCUUUCAAUUUUUAAGCCUAACAGCCAGCUUCACAUCUUUCCCAUGGAUAUGUUAUUGAGAUUCUGCUUUCUGAUUGUGAUUUCUUUUUAAAUUUUUGCAUGUGAAGAGGGAAAGGGCUGAAUGCUCAGUUCUCUUGUCUCGAGGAAAACCUUUAUAUGUGUUUUACCUAUUUUAUCCAAGAACUUAUGUGUUCAUCUUUAUUCAUUGUGGUUAUCUGUCUUAUAAUGGUAGAUAACGUCAAGAACAACUCAUCCACCACCGUAAAAGCUCCUAAAAGCAAUAUUACUUAGAAUUUCCCUUUUUUUUUAAAACUAAAUGGACUUUUAUUUGUUUUAAAAUCAUUAAUCAUUCAAAGCUAAAAAAGUGUACUUUUUUUUUUUUUAAACUUUAACAUUGAUUACAGGAUGAAUGCCUCUGGUUAUAUUAACAAUGGAGUUAAUUUCCUUUGCUCUAGAUAGUGUUCUAUUUUUCCACAGAAACUUUUCAUUUAAGGUGUAGAAACUUCAUUCAUUUAGUAAAUAAUUUGUUUUCCUUUUAGCACUUAAAAUAUUGUCCUUUAAUAACAUGCAAAAUGGUCAGACUUUUUCACAGACGAGGGAUUGAAUAUGUGUAUCUCCCUUAGAGCGAAUGAUAGAGGCUUUCAUUAGUUCUAAAUCUUCACUUGAAUUAUUUAUUUUAUUGGUGUACCAUACAAGAAGAUAAUGUGCAUUUUCCACCAACUUUUUGAAGAUCUCAUGUAAAUGAAGCAAGACAACUUUAUCUGAUUGUAUAGGGGAGAAUUUUUUUGUACCUAUUUGAAUAGCCUGGUCACAGUAGCAUUAACAGACAAAAAGACUGGCCAUGUCAUCUUCCAGUCACUUACUUAAGGUCGUGAAUACUAUGGUGGAGUGGAGCGAUUUAGAGAAGUAAAGGAAUUAUGAUUUUCAUGAGCCAAAGUGAUUUAGCUAGAAUAAAAUGAAGCAUACCCUGAUGGUAAAGACUGUUGGAAAGUAAAAGAAUUCCUCCUUCGAGGUUGUUAGAAGGUGCCUUUCUUACUUAAAACCAAACUGGGAAAAGUAAUACUGGAUAUAAUAUACAGGAUUAAUUUUGCCUAGGCAGGACUUCAAAGGGCAAUUAUUUUUUCUCUGUUUCAUUAUUGAAUUUUCAGAAUAUAGUUAAAGCAAAAGGCUUAAAAUAUGUUAAAUGUUUAGCCCAUGACCAUAAUCUUUUCACAUAAGGUAUAUUCUGUCUUCAGUAAUAAGCAAAUCCUCUGCACGGGAAUAUUUUAAGUGCAAUUAAAUGGCCUAGAGUUUAAAUGAUUACAUAAAAGCACAUCAUUAAAUGCAUUCUGCUGGAGUCACAGUGAGCUAAACAAUGGGAAGAUGUUUGCUUUUUUGCCUUUGUCAGUGUUGUGCUGAGGAUCUGAUGAGAUAAUGUUAUGACUAAACACUUUGGAAAUCAGAAAUACAUGCUGAUAUUAUAUCCGUGUGGGAAGAUGCCUGGGGCGGGGGGGGGGGGGUUAACGGUGAUAGUGUCCCUCUUCAUGUAGCACUUCUUUAGCUUUCUAAGCCACUCAAUGUGUCUCUUGUUCUUCUCGGUAUUCUUUUUCUCCUCCUCAAUGGUAUCCUUCAGGGAGACAAGAUGUGUAUAAAUGGACCCCAGAAAACCUGUUCUGACAUUUCAGAGAGGGACAAGGUGUAAUGAUACCAUCCUGCAAAGGCAAUCUGAAGGCAAACAAGAAACCCAAUGAUAUGGAUUUUAAAAUUACAAAAGAUAUUCAUUUGCAGCUUAUGAAAGGAAAAUGUAGUUUGCAUGCAAAGCUGAUUACAAUGGAUCAAGGAAAAUUAGAAUUAAAAACAAAAAUAAUGCAUGUAUUUAUGGUUUCAAUUUUUAUAUAUUCUCAGCUGCUUGGAAAUGAUGACUCCCACGACAAGCAUAACUUAGCUUGUUUCUGCUUACUGAGUAUUUUCUACUAUGGUAUAUAUUGAUAACACUUCUUCCAUUAUGUAUGUUCUAUAGCAGAGUUACAGUUACUGUGGGAAUCAUCAUUUGAAAUUUCGACUCAUGUUUCCAAAAUAUUCACAACAAAUAUUGUAUUAACAUAGAACGUUUUUUGGUGGAUUUUACCAAAAUUAGUCCCAUCUGUAGUAGACACUGUUUUAACUUAAGAAAUAUUUUAUAAGCAUACUAUAAGGUAUGGCUAUAAGAUAAUGAGAUCUGUGUCCAUUUUUGCUUCUUGGAAUCAACUUUAUUGUUUCAUUGUCACAUCUCAAACUUCAGAGCAUUUGCCACAAAGAAAGUGGUUUUGUUGCUACUUUCCCUACCUACACAUGUACCUGCUGCUUAAAUUGGAAAACUUUUCAGUUCAUGGCCAACACAUCUUGGUGAUAAUCAGGCUGGUUUUUUUUGGGGGGGGGAGAGGGAGAGAGGAGAGGGUUAGGGGUACAAAAAUUUAUUGUUGUAGAAAUGUAUUAUAAGCUAUUUGGCUAGAUUUAACUUUGUCAACUAUAGGAUAAUGGGAUUGAUAUAAAUGGAGGUGUAACCAAGAAAUAGGCUAUUAAAAAUUCAUGAACUCCAAAUAUGGAAAGAUUAUACUGUCAUUUUUGUCUUACCUAUGCUGCUUGCGGUCUCAGAGUCAAGAAAACUUUCAGAUUUGCCUGUGUCAUAGAGUCUGCUUGUGGCAGCCCUAGGAUAUGAUCCACAUUCAGUUCUGGCUGUGCUAGAAGUUCAGGGACAGUGGCAUGAGGAUGUAGAGGUAAAUUUCGUACAUUACAGCAGGCAGUAUGUCCUGUUUAGGACAUGGCCAAUGUUUUGUUCAUCGCUGAGUGGGAACCUACCUUCCUACCUACCUUCCUGUCUUGCUUUAACCUUUAUUCAGGGCUGCUUGCUUCUUCAAGAGUGUUAGCUUUACUUCUCCUAGAUUGAACAAUUCACUUCUGUUCUUAGCAAACAACAUUUUUGUAUGACAGUUUAUUUUCAUUUUUGUUCAGUGUUAUCCAACAAUUCCGCUCCAGACUUUUUUGCCUUUCCUGGAUUUUUUUUUCCUGUUUUAGCUGUAGUUUUCUAAUGUCUCUAUAGCCUAUAGCUUGGUACAUCCUCAUUCCCAAACCCCAAAAGUCUGGAUAAUAAUCCUGGUUCCCAAAGAGUGGAUUCUGUACUUCAGGAAGAAACCUCUCUUUUCCCAGUGUUGGAACUUUUUAAGUUUCAAAUGAUAAAAACUCAUGUAGAGCAAAGGCAGUCCAACAGGGAAUUCGCUGCAGAGGUAUUAUGUUACCUCAUGUAAAAUUCUUGUGGGACUGGGCUUGGUCUGCACCUCUUCAGGAGUUGAAAUGUCACCUGGAUUCUUUUCAUUCUGCCUUGAUCCCUCCUGGAAACUGUCUUUUUGCGUCGUGUGGCUGGUGACUGCAGAGCCUCAGAGCUCAUUCUUCUACCAUGAGAACAAUUACUGUCUUCCUUUAAUCCCAGUUACAAAAUCUUGUGGAAGAACCAAUUUACCUCAUACUUUGUCAGAUGGCCAAGGACUUGUAAGCACAUAAAGAUCUCUGUUGACAUGGGGAAGAGAGAGAGAACAGGAGCUAGGCAGUCACUCUUACUUUCUUCUAAUUUGCUAUUCAACAGGUGGCCCUGUAAAUCCCAGCAUCUGUAGCAUCAUCUAAAACUCUUUAAAAUGCAGACUGCCAGGCCCCAUCUGUGAAUGAGAAUCUGCAUUUUAACCAUAUUCCCAUGUAAUUUGAAUGCAUUUGAAAGUAGGAGGAACAUGGAUCUAUUAUACCUUCCUAGACUCAAUAGUUCAAUUUUAUCUCCUAAAAAGAGAUUUUAAAAGAAGAUUGAAAACACUCGUUUGUACAACAAAACAGCCAUGGGUAGCAUAUUUUAUAUGUUAAUUUACUCAGGCAUCAUUACCAGCUUCUACUCAGACCUUUUAAGACUAUGUACCCUUCUCAUUUUUUUUGUUGUUGUUGUUCCUUCUGAGACUUAUUCAAAAUGUGAUAAAUACUUAAAACAGGCAUCUGGUUAGCAUUUAUUGUGUGUAGUGUCUGCAACUUCUUCGAUACUUCAAGAGGUGAGGGUAAAUUCCUCUCCCCUUGAAUGUGGGCUGAUAUUAGUAACUUAGUUUGAUAAGUGAAAUAUGACAGAAUAAGACUGCAUGAUUUCAGAGGGUAGGCCAUACAAGGAGAUAGAGCAUCUGCCUUACUCUUUCUCAGCAUACUGCUCUUGGAAUGCAGCCACCAUCCCCAGAUGAAGCCCAACCCACCUGGAGAAGGCACGUUUGGAGGACAGCCCAGUGAUGUAAGAGCCAGCAUCAGGCUCCAUGGAUGCAAGAGGAGAUUCCUGACUUCCUGACUGCAGCCACAAGGGAGGUUCCUAAGUGUGAACCACUUGGAAGAUCCCCAGAAGUGUGAGAGAUGGUGGAUACCUUGGUUGAUUCUACAUAUUGGCUAUUAUUGACAGUGCUGCUAUAAACAUGAUGGGACAGAUAUCUUUGGUACAGUGAGUAUAUCCCAGUAGUGGGAUUGCUGAAUCAUAUGGCAAGUCUAUUUCUAGUUUUUAAAGAAAUCUCCAUACUGUUUUCCAUAGUGGCUUUACUAAUUUUCAUUCCCACAGUGUAUAAGAGUUCCCCUUCCUUCACAUCCUCACCAACAUUUGUUAUUUUCUGUCUUUUGGAUAAUAGCCAUUCAGACAGGGGUAAGAUUUCUCAUUUUGAUUUUGAUUUGAAUUUCUCAUAUUGAGCAUUUUAAAAUAUAUUUAAUAACAUAUAUUAUUUAAUAUAUUUGUUGACCAGUUGUAUUUCUUUUAUAGAAAAACUAUUCAGGUCCUUUGUCUUUUUCUUAACUGAACUGGUUGGUUUUUGUUGUUGUUGUUGUUGUGGAGUUUUUUGAGUUGUUGAUACAUUUUGGAUAAUAAUCUUCUAUCAAAUAAGUAGUUUUCAAAAAUUUUCUCUCAUUCUGUCAGAUGUCCCUUCACUAUAUUUGUAUCCUUUGCUAUACAGAAACUUCUGAGUUUGAUAUAAUCCCAUUUGUUUAGUUUUGCUGUGGGGCCUUAUCCAAGAAGUCAUCAUCUACACCAAUGUCUGAAGUGUUUCCCUACUUUUUCUUCUAUCAAGUUCAUAGUCUGAGGCCUUAAAAUUAAUUCUUUGAUCCAUUUUGAACUGAUUAAUGUGAAUGGUGAGAGGUAGGGAUCCAAUUUCAUUCUUCUAUAUAUCUCCAGGGGCAGUAACAUUUAUUGAAGAGACCUUUCUUCAAUGUAUUUCUGGGUAUUUUUGUCAAACAUUAGUUGACUGUAUGUACAUGAAUUAAUUUCUGGGCUCUCUAUACUUCCUAUUGAUCUAUAUGUAUAUUUUUAUGCACUUCCAUAUUGUUUUAAUUAUGAAAGCUUUUGAGUAUGCUUAGAAAGGAGGUAUUGUGAUACCUUGAAUUUUAGGAUUAUUUUCUUCUAGUUCUGUAAUGAAUAUAUUGGUAUUUUGAUAAGGAUUACAUUGAAUCUGCAGAUGCUUUAAGAGUAUAGACAUUUUAAUUCUUACAAUCCAUGAGAAAGGAAUAUAUUUUCAUUUUCUGUGUCCUUGAUGAUUUCUUUCAUCAAUGUUUAUAAUCUUUCUUGUAGAGAUCUUUCCCUUCUUUGGUUAAAUUUGUUUCUAAACAUUUGAAUGGCUUUUUUGAAUGGAAUUUUUUUUCUGAUAUAUAUUUUGGCAAAUUCAUUAUUGGUGUAUAAGAAAACUACUGUAUUUUUGGUAUUUUUGUAUGUUUAUUUUGUAAUCUACAACUUUACUGAAUUGGUUUAUCAGUUCUAACAGCUUUUUGGAGAACUGUUUAGAUAUUUUCAUAUACAACAGCUUGUCAUCUGCAAGCAUGUUGACUUUCUCUUUCCAAUAUCAAUGCCCUUUAUUUCCUUUUCUUACCUAAUUUCUCUUAUUAGUACUUCCAAUAUUAUAUUGAAAAAGAAUGUUAUAGUGUCACAUGUUUUCAUGAUGUUUACUUCCUCUGUAAGACUCUCUUUAGAAUUUCUUUUAAGGCUGAUUUGGGGAUGAUGAAUUCCUGUUUUUGCUUAUCUGGAAAAUAUAUUAUUUCUUCCUCACUUCUAAAGGAUGUCUUCACUGGAUAUAGUAGUCUUCUUGGUAGUUUUUUUUUUCUUUUAAGACACUUGAAUAUAUCAUCCCAUUAUUAUUUUGGAGUUUCUGAUGAGAAAUUUGCUGUUAGUCUAAUUGGUUUUCCUUUAUAUGUAAUAUGACACUUUCUCUUUUUUUUUCUUUUUUUUAUUUUUUAGACAGGCAGAGUGGACAGUGAGAGAGAGAGACAGAGAGAAAGGUCCUCCUUUUUGCCAUUGGUUCACCCACAAUGGCCGCUGUGACCGGCGUGCUGCAGCCUGUGCACCACGAUCCGAAGGCAGGAGCCAGAUGCCUCUCCUGGUUUCCCAUAGGGUGCAGAGCCCAAGCACUUGGGCCAUCCUCCACUGCACUCCCGGGCCACAGCAGAGAGCUGGCCUGGAAGAGGAGCAACCGGGACAGAAUCCAGAGCCCUGACCGGGACUAGAACCCCGUGUGCUUGUGCCGCAGGCGGAGGAUUGGCCUAUUGAGCCAUGGUGCCGGCUGGCACUUUCUCUUACUGUCUUUAGAAUUCCCCCCAUGUCCUUAACUUUUGGUAAUUUACUACAUAUGCCUUGGAGAAGAUCUUUUUAUUGGUUGAAUCUGCUUGUAGUCCUUUUAAACUUCUAUAUCUGGAUGUUCAUAUAUCUUUCAAGACUUGGGAGGUUUUCAACUACUAUUUCAUUUAAUAGGUUCUCAAUGCCUUUUUCCUUCUAUUCUCUUUUGGGAAUCCACAUAAUAAAAAUAUUUGGUUGUUUAAUGGUACCCAAUAUUUUGCAUAGCCUUUCUUCAUUCUUUUUAAUUCUUUUAUCUUUAUUUUUGUCUGGAUUAUUUCAAAACUCUUGCCCUCCAGAUCAGUAAAUCAUUCCUCUGGUUGGUCUAUUCUGUUGCUGAAGUGCUCAACUGCAUUUUUUAUUUUAUUGAUUGAGGUUUUCAGCUUCAAAGUUUCUGUUUGGUUCUUUUUAAUGAACUCUACCUCAUUAAUGAAUUUCUCAUUCAUGUCACCUAUUGUUUUUCUCAUUUCUUUAAGCUAUCUGUAUUUACUUGCAAUUCAUUGAGUUUCCUUAAGAUUGUUAUCUUUGAAUUCUAUUUCAGACAUUAUAUAAAUUUCCUUCAGAUUAGGAUCUAUCUGUAGAGGACUGUUGUGUUCUUUUGGAGAUGUUAUGCUUUUUUGCUUGUCCAUGUUUCCUAUGUUCCCAUGUUGACAUCUCUGCUUCUGGUGUAAUAGUCCCUUCUUUAUGGAGUACGUUUUGUUAGGAAAGUUUUUUUAUUUUUUUAAUGUGGGAUGCAGGGUAUCACUUGGUUUGUUGUUGCUUUGGCUUUGGUUCUAGGUGAGCCUAGAAGUGUAACCUCUGAGUGAUUUGUUUUGCUUUAACCAAUGUCAGCAGUGUCUAUAAGUAACAGAGUUGUCUAUUCUGCAGCAGUGCAUGGAGGUCUAAAUACAUCUUUGAAGUAGAGGCGGACUUCUUAAGGUGUAUAUCUUCAGUCUUCAGAAAGUUCGGUAUCGGUCACACUCAAAUUUAUAAUAACCUGAGCCUUGUUUUUGAUGCUGAGAGACACCAACAUUGUGUCCCUUGUCCCACUGGGCAGACCUGAGUGAUGUGGGGCUUUUUGCACCAAUAUCCAUGGCUCUAGAACUGUGUGAAGUAGAUAGGACCUUCUCUAGGUUCUGCUGAGAGACAGGUGCUGGGUUUUAUAGCACCAAAAGCCCUUACUUCCAGAACUUAGCAAUGUGGAAUGGGGACCCUGCUGUGGAUCUACAUGGUAACUGCAAGUUAUCCUGGAGAUUGUGCACUGGCAAGUAUGAGUCUGGACAGGUGAAAUGCAGCAGAUUUUUCCCUGGGUCUCACAGGGUAAAUGUUGAUGCAUCUGAGGAAAUUAAUAAUAAUUCUAACAGUCCUGGUCCUGUGGAAUGCUGUGGGGUCAUUACCUACGUCUCCCAGGAUUACAGUCAGUUGUGUUGGGAAUGGUGGUAGUUACUUGCCUGAAAUAGCAUCUCAGAUAGAGCUCUCCAGAUACCUCAAGUGAGUAUGAGUUACUCCAGAGAUUGUAAUACCAACAUCAGCAAUACCAGCUCUGUAAGGCACUGAUGGAAAUGUCUCCCAGUUCCCACAUGACAUGCAAGGGUGAUGCUGGCUGGUGUUUGUGCCUUGGGUUCCCAGCACUGUAAUCUAGGAGGUGCAGAGGUAACUUCCUCCAGUCUCAUCCUCUUGAAUUUUAUCUAAGCUGCUCCUGGUGCUAAUGCCAAGAAACCAAGAGGAAACCCCCUGAAUAACACAUAGGGAGUGAGCUCAAGCCCAGGGUCUUAUCCCUAGAAUUCUCACAGUCACAGGCCACAGGGUGCUCUGAAAAGCACCCUGUUCUGGCACUAGUGGCUUUUGGUAGCAGCAGAACUGCUCGCUGUCCACUAGAACAGAGUUCAGUGGUGAAUCUACCAUAGUGAAUUGAGGCUGGCACUUUAGCAGGGAGGGAACAUUUGGCUUUCCUAUGUAGAGCUUAGACACCAACCAGUUCCCUAGGCUAGACUUGAAGUUAGUGGGGACCAUGGAAUUCUGACACAGGACUGCCAGUGGUGGGAGCCACAGCACCUUCUUACCUCUUCCCAACAUGUUCCCUGUCUGAAAGCUGGUGGAGUAGGUGCUGUGGCAGCUGGUGGCAAUGCUAUGUCUGUCCUCUCUCUUUGCUGUCUUAUAGAGACCACUUCUUUGCUGGAAAUUUCUCUCAGUUCCCUCUGAACACAAUCCUCGCUAUGUUUUUCUGGAAUUUCUCUGUGGCUGAGAUGAGUGCAGUUUCUCACUCUUCAGCCAUCUUUGAUCCUGUCAUGAUAUUUUCUUGGUCUCUUGAUUUAUAUGUGUAUUCUCUUCUUGUUGUUAAAAAACACAUUUGGAAAGUUUAUUUUCCUUUUGUUAAAAUAUAUAUCUAUUUGAAAGUCAGGGUUCCAAAGAGAGAGGGAGAGACAAAGAGAGAGAUCUCCCAUCCACUAGUGCACUCCCCAAAUGGCCACAAUGGUCAGGACUGGGCCACACAAAAGCCAGGAGUCUAGAGCCUAGAACUCCAUCCAGGUCUCCCAGGUAGGUGACAGUGGCCCAAGUACUUGGCCAUCUUCUGCUGCUUUUCCCAGGCACAUUGGCAGGGAGCUGGACAGAAAGCAGAUCAGCUGGGACUUGAACCAGUGCUUUUAUGGGAUGCUGGUAUUGCAUAUAAUGGCUUAACCUGCUCUGCCACAAUGAAAAGGUUUUUCUUUUUUUUAAGCUUUUAUUUAAUAAAUAUAAAUUUCGAAAGUACAACUUUUGGAUUAUAGCGGCUUUUUCCCCCAUAACCUCCCUCCCACCCGCAACCAUCCCAUCUCCCACUCACUCUCCCAUCCCAUUCUUCAUCAAGAUUCAUUUUUAAUUUUCUUUAUUUACAGAAGAUCUACUUAGUAUUUAUUAAGUAAAGAUUUCAACAGUUUGCACCCAAACACACAAUGUAUAGAGUACUGUUUUAGUAAUAGUUUUACCGUUGAUUUUCAUAGUACAACACUUUAAGGAUAGAAAUCCUACAUGGGGAGUAAGUGCACAGUGACUCCUUUUGUUGAUUUAACAAUUGACACUGUUAUUUAUGACGUCAGUAAUCACCGAGGCUCUUGUCAUGAGCUGCCAAGGCUAUGGAAGCCUCUUGAGUUCACCAACUCAAGAGACAAGGCCACAGUCAAAGUGGAAGUUCUCUCCUCCCUUCAUAGCAAGGUACCUCCUUCUUUGAUGGCCCAUUUGGAAAGGUUUUUUUCUAAGUUGUUUCUUAUAUGUCCAGUAUUAGAAGUUUAUGUAAGUUUUCUCUGGAGGAUUUCAAUAUAGUUACAUGACAAAAUUUUUAAAAAUUGCUUUGUAGCCAUAUGUUCACUCUAUAAUGGGUAUAUUUUCUACUUUCUAUCUGACAGAGUCUUUUUUAAAAAAUUAUUUUAUUUAUUUGAAAGAUAGAGUUAUAAGGAGAGAGUUAGAGACAGAGAGGGACAGAAAGAUCUUCCAUCUCUUGGUUUAUUCCCUAGGUGGCCACAAUAGCCAGGGCUGGGGCAAGCUAAAGCCAGGAGCCAGGAGCUUCCUCUGGGUCUCUUACAUGGGUUGCAGGAGCCCAAGUGCUUGGGCUAUCUUCUAAUGCUUUCCCAUGUGCAUUAGCAGAGAGCUGGAUCAGAAAUGAAGCUGCCAGGACUUAAACCAGCACUCAUAGGAGAUGCCGGCAUCCUAGGCAGUAGCUCAUCUCACUGUACCACAAUGCUGGCCCCUGAUAUGAUCUAAAGACAAUAUUCAGUGGAACAGCAGAUUCAGUGAAUGUUGGGUAAAUGCACUUCCUUAUUUUGGUUUCUUCAUUAAAGAAUAGGGAUAUUUUGUUGGGUCGAUAUACAGCAUUCUUUCAUUGUAUAGAAUUCAACUGUAUGAAGAACGGUGAUAGAGUAGCCAAAGGAAUCCACUGUUCCAGUUACUGAUUCCUUAUCUUUCAGCUCCACAUCACUCCUUGCUGUUCUAUGGGAAUGGAAUUGAACCCUUUAAGGAUAUCUUCAGAGUGAACCUGAUGUUAGCUUUGUCACUAGAGCAUGCUGGAGGAGGGUUGCUGGUAGAUGAAUCUUCUCUUCCUGUUCCUGGUAUCCUCCUCUUGCAGUGUGUGUGUGUAUGUGCACAUACAUGUGUGCAUGAGAGUGUGGUUCUUGCAGUGCCCAACACCUGGUAGCACAGCCCAUCCUCCUGUAGGCAGCUUCAUAAGGAAGGGCUACCAGCAAGGCAUCUCCUUAUGAAUGGCUGCCUUGGGCAAUCUAGCCUCAGCAGCUUUGCAGUGAAAUGCAGUUGGUGGGCAACUGCACCCCUCCUUGGCCAUCUACAUCAUGGAGUGCUACUGGCUGGACACUUCCCCCUGACCAGUAUUCCCCACUCCCCUCCAGGUGACUUUUCAGUAAGUUUUUGAGACAUGGCUCCUCCUUGAAAUAAGCUUUCUACCAAAUCCCACUGAACGUAUCUGCCAUCCAGUGAACUUCACUAUGCCUUCUCCAAAGAUGUCUGGACCUCAGCCCAUGGAGUGAGAAGGUCUCUCCCUUGUGUUUUUUCUCAGUCAUAGGGGUUGCCACCUCUCAGUUUUUGAAAGAUUUACUUAUUUUAUCUGAAAGGCUGAGCUACAGAGAGAGAGACAUAGAGAGGGAAAGCUAAAGAGAGAGAUUUCUUUCAUUUGCUGGUUUACUCCCCAAAUGGCCGCAAUAGCCUGGGGCUGGGCCAGGCAAUGCCAAGAGCCUGGAACUCUGUCUAAGUCUCCAAAGUUGGUGCAGUGGUCCAAGCACUUGAGCCAUCUUCUGCUGCCUUCCCAGGUACAUUAGUAGAUUGGAUUAGAAGUGGAGCAGCUGGAACUCAAAUCAGUACCCAUAUGCGAUGCUGGUGUUGUAGAUAAGGGGUUAACCAGCUGUGCCAUGACGCAUGCCUCUCCUCUCUGCUUUGAGUUCUUUUUAUCUCUUGCUGGUAAAUCCUCCAUCCCUCUAAUGUCUUGCUUAAAUCACCGUGUGAUGCAUGUCUCCUGAUUGGACUUUGACAGAUACAGCUUCUUACAGAAACCAGAUGGCAGUAAGAGGUGACAUCCUUGUUCACAUUCAUUUUUUAAAGGUUUGUUUAUUUAUUUGAGAGGUAGAGUUAGAGACCGAGAUAGGGAGAAACAGAGAGAGGAAGAGACACAGAGAGAGAGAGAGAGGUCUUCUAUCUGCUGGUUCACUCCUGAAAUUGCUUCAAUAGCCAGAGCUGGGCCAAUUGGAGGCCAGGAUACAGGAGCUUCCUCUGGGUCUCCCAAGUGGGUGCAGGGGCCCAAGCACUUGGGCCAUCUUCCACUGCUUUCCCAGGCAAUCUUCAGGGAGCUGGAUGGGAAGUGGAACAGUUGGGAGAACCAGUGCCCAUAUAGGAUGCCUGUAGUACUGCAGAGGGAGGCAUAACUUACUACAGCACAGGGCUGACCCCUCACAAUAAUUUUUAUUGUUCAGAUUAUUCUUCUUUAAAAAGAAGAAGCCCACCCUGUACCCCUACCCCAAAAGAGUCAGAGCCCAUUCUUUGCCAUCUCAUUCAGAAGGCCUCCCUGGGGAUAUCAACUGAAGGUUGCAAGAUGAAUGGGGCACCACCUCUGACAUGGUUCUGGCCCGUGGCAUUGGCCUGGUGAUGCACACAACUAUCAUAUACGAGAUGUCUUCAAAAAUUCCUAGAAAAUUAGCAUUGUUUAAGAAACUAUAUAUAGAUUUCAAAGGUUUUUAUUCCCCCAAAAAAGCAAUUUUAUGCAUAUUUUUAGCUAGUUUUCAUUCAAGAAAAAGAGAGCACUCCCUUGUACUGGUUUACCCCCCAAAUGCCUGCAAUUGAUGAGGCUGGGCUGUGGCUUAAGCUAGGAGCCCCAUACUCAGUCUAAGUCUCUCAAAUGGUAACAGGGAUACAAUUACUUCAGCUUUCACCUGCUGCCUCCCAGGGUCUGCAUUAUUGGACAGCUCCAUUCAGGGGCUAGAGCCAGGAAUAGAACGCAGAUACUCCAAUAGGGAUCCUAGAUAUCCUAAAUGACAUCUUAACCCGCAGACCAAAAUCCUGCCCCUCCAUGAACUAUCUGAAGUGACUUCAUAGAUUGAAACCACCCACCAGUCUCAUCAACUGACUUUGUUUUAAAAAGCCCUGAUUCUUCUGGUCCGGGUAGUUUUUCCUGGCUCUGAAAUUAAAAAUAAAAACAGGGAAAAAUGAGAUAAGGGGAAUAAAAAUUUAGAUGUUAAAAUGAGAAGCUAAGACUCUAAAGGAUAUACUUAUGAAUAAAGUAAAUUACAAAUUGGAAACAAAACUCUUUUCAAGUGAAAAUAAUAGAAGGAAAAAUUAAAUUGAAAAUAAAGAGUAAUCCAGGUAGCUGAAACAUUUUAAAGGAAGAUUAAAAAUAAGCUCACAUUAGUGAAAGAAUAUAACAUUCUGUAAGUGCUAAACAGUUAGAGAACAAAACAACUAAAAAUAAAUACAGAAGAUAAGAGAUGAACAAUUUAAAACAUGAGAACAUUUUUCUAAAAGGCAAAUUACCUGCUUUUAAAAGACAUCUAGCUUUUGUUAUUCUCCAAACAUUAACACAGCCACAAGUUCCAGUAGCUUGUAUCUGUGGCUUUGAUUUCCAAGGUCAGGAUCUUGGCAAAGCACUCUUCAGAGUCCCAUUGGAGUAGCAAGCAGUUAAGAAUGUUUAGCUCUUCUAUUUCCUCAUUCUCCAAAGGCUCCUGUCUCCUCUGAUUGCCUGGUUUUUAAUUCAGUAUCUUGUAGAGUUGGGUAUGGAAAGAGGCUAGAGCAACACAUGCCCUUUCUUGGCCAGCCCUGUUUGCUGUGGCUCUAGGAGCAGGCCUGCCGAUAAAUCCUUUACUACCAGCCUGAAAACCCAGGAGUAGGCCUAUAAGGAUGUGGAUUGCCCAGGUAUCUCCUGAUGCUGAGGUUGCUGUGUGUCCUCCUUUCUUUCCCUCACACUGCUGGCUGCAGCUCAAGUAAUCAAACUGCUUUAUAAUGUAUCUUGCCCCAGGAAAAGGCACAUUAGUAUUUUUCAUACCUUUUGGUUAGAACCUACAGUAAGAAAUACUUUUCCUACUCUUGACUCAGUACAUAUAUGUGUGUAUAUACAUAUCUAUAGGACUGAAAAGGCAAUUUUACAAAACAAGUCCCUCUCUAUCAUUUUCUAUUCUUUUGUAUUCUGUAUUAUGGAAUUGUCUCAAAUGGGAGCUAGAUCAAAGGUUUUCAAAAAAUAUUUGGCUUUCAUAUACCCUAAAAAUGCAUGUUACAUUGUGUUUCCUAAUGCAUAUAUAAGCAUAUGCAUGUACAUAACUAAAAUAAAAUCUUACAGAACAA